rnacentral:rRNA from 1 species
UACGUAGGGGGCGAGCGUUGUCCGAAGUUACUGGCGUAAAGCGCGCGUAGGCGGGGGAUUAAGUGAGAGGUGAAAGGCUGGGGCUCAACCCCAUGCAGUGCCUCUCAUACUGGUCUUCUUGAGGGCGGUAGGGAGAAGUGGAAUGGCUGGUGUAGCGGUGAAAUGCGUAGAUAUCAGUCGGAACACCGGUGGCGAAGGCGGCUUCGUUGGGCCGUUCCUGACGCUGAGGCGCGAAAGCUGGGGGAGCGAACGGGAGU